rnacentral:misc_RNA from 1 species
AAGUCGUAACAAGGUUUCCGUAGGUGAACCUGCGGAAGGAUCAUUAACGAGUUAGGGUCUUCUAGGCCCGACCUCCCAACCCUGUGCUUAUUGAACCUUUGUUGCUUCGGCGGGCCCGUCUUUACGACCGCCGGAGGAUUGUCGAUCGACGUCCUCUGGCCCGCGCCCGCCGGUGGCCCAACUCCAAAACUCAUGAAUCAAUCGUGUCUUAUGUCUAAGUCCCAUGAUUAAAUCAAAACAAAACUUUCAACAACGGAUCUCUUGGUUCUG